rnacentral:rRNA from 1 species
GGGUCUUGUACACACCGCCCGUCACACCACGAGAGUUUGUAACACCCGAAGCCGGUGGAGUAACCUUUUAGGAGCUAGCCGUCGAAGGUGGGACAAAUGAUUGGGGUGAAGUCGUAACAAGGUAGCCGUAUCGGAAGGUGCGGCUGGAUCACCUCCUUUCUAAGGA